UAAGAUAUUCACUCAAAAUACGAACACUAAGAACCUAGAGAGUGGAUUGUUGUGGACCUAAGUAUUCACUCGUCCUCAUACUCAUUAUCUUCAUAAUCCUGAGCUCGAUACUCAUAAUCUCUAUAAAACCAUGGAUAAGUGCUCGUCUUCUUUGAAUUAAAACCACAACACCCUCUCAUAUUCAUAAUCUUUAUCUCCUGACUUAUCAUUGUGUCAGAAUGGAUCAAUCUUCGGUCGUAGUGGAAAAACCUUCACAGGAGCCGUACAUAAGUCCGCCGCCUAUUGGUUAUCCGACCAGAGAUGCGGCUGGUGGUGAUCCUGUGGUAGCCGCAGUGGAGACCAAGUCAAAAGGCGAUGAUGAGUUCUCUUAUAGAAGAUGUUUUAACAAGGUCUGCUGUUGUUUCACUAUCUUCCAAGCCUGCUGCUAGUGAUGAUACUUUGGAGUUAACGGUUUCAUGCAAAUUAUUGGUGUAAUAAACAUAUAUUUGAUGAUAAUUGUGUUACGUAACUACAGCUUUAUGUAAAAUGUACUCUACGCGCGGAUGGUUAUCGUAGUUGUGUUUUACAUUAAGUGAUCAUCUAUCUAUAUAAGUGAAUUUGGUUUGUUGGAGUCUGA